rnacentral:rRNA from 1 species
GACGAACGCUGGCGGCGUGCCUAAUACAUGCAAGUAGAACGCACAGUUUAUACCGUAGCUUGCUACGCCAUAGACUGUGAGUUGCGAACGGGUGAGUAACGCGUAGGUAACCUGCCUGGUAGCGGGGGAUAACUAUUGGAAACGAUAGCUAAUACCGCAUAAUAUUGAUUAUUGCAUGAUAAUUGAUUGAAAGAUGCUAUUGCAUCACUACCAGAUGGACCUGCGUUGUAUUAGCUAGUAGGUGAGGUAACGGCUCACCUAGGCGACGAUACAUAGCCGACCUGAGAGGGUGAUCGGCCACACUGGGACUGAGACACGGCCCAGACUCCUACGGGAGGCAGCAGUAGGGAAUCUUCGGCAAUAGACGAAAGUCUGACCGAGCAACGCCGCGUGAGUGAAGAAGGUUUUCGGAUCGUAAAGCUCUGUUGUAAGAGAAGAACGGGUGUGAGAGUGGAAAGUUCACACUGUGACGGUAUCUUACCAGAAAGGGACGGCUAACUACGUG